GGGUCUGUAGCUCAGUUGGUUAGAGCGCACCCCUGAUAAGGGUGAGGUCGGAAGUUCGAAUCUUCCCAGACCCACCA
rnacentral:tRNA from 2 species